rnacentral:lncRNA from 1 species
CAAGGAGCAGGAGGAGGCGGCAGCCAGCAGCUCCCUUCAAUCCAUGGUUAGGUGGCUUUGGAGCAAGUGUUCUCCCUCAACCGUUUCUCCUGAUACUGCAAAAGAUGCAUUUUCAGCAGAUUCUGUUGUGCGGACUUCUGGCAAAUUCCAGAAAGCAGGUUUCCAGCUGGAAUCACCUGUCCCUCUACCGGUUACAACAGCUUUCCUCCAAGGAUUGUAGCCUUGAUUCUUAACAUACAAAUGCAUGCUACCGUGCUACACAGAGCCACUGAAAGCUUCUGGGAGCACCUUGGUAUUCCGAGUCUAGACUGAUAUUACUGUAUGUUUCUCUUCUGAAUGGACCCAGGCUGACAGUAAACAACAAGCAGUGUCUUCUCGGUUGGAUCUUGCAUCUCUCUGUUGGAGCAUGAUGUGGAGGAGUAGGCAAAUGCAGUGCGAAGAAAUGAAGUGGGAGUGAAUCCCAACCUCUGCGGAGGUGGGACUGCAUCAGAUGGGAAGGCUUCUUAGAAGAAAUGAUGUCGGAAGCACAUACCUGAAUCUCAAGAACAAGUUGCAGCUGAUGGAAACAGAUGCCGAGACCCACAUCGAACAGUAGAUAGAACUCAGGGAGUCUUGUGGAAGAGUUGGGGGAAGGAUCGAGGGAGCUGAAGGGAUCAAAGACCCCAAAGGAAGACCUAUAGAGUAAAUUAACCUGGGACCAGGGGACCUCACAGAGACUGAACUACCAACCAAAGACUGUACAGGGGCUGGACCUAGGCCCCUACAGUUACAUAGCAGAUGUGAAGCUUGUUCUUCAAGUGGGUCCCCUAACAAUUGGAGUAGGGACUGUCUCUAACUCUGUUGCCUUCCUUUGGAUCUCUUUCCCAUAGCUGAGCUACCUUCUCUGCUGUCCUCGGGAGAGGAUGUCCUUGAUUCUGCUGCAACUUGGUAUACCAGGUCGGGUUGUUACCCAUAGGGUGUGGGAGG